rnacentral:rRNA from 1 species
CGGCGUGGAUUAGGCAUGCAAGUCGAGCGGGUAUAGCAAUAUAUCAGCGGCGAAAGGGAGAGUAACGCGUAGCUACGUGCCCCAGAGACCGGAAUAGCCAGCCGAAAGGCUGGGUAAUGCCGGAUGAUGUCCCUGGACUAAAGGGUGUGAUUCCGCUUUGGGAGCGGGCUGCGUUGUACUAGCUUGUUGGUAGGGUAAUGGCCUACCAAGGCGAUGAUGCAUACCGGGCGUGAGAGCGUGGCCCGGCUCACUGGGACUGAGACACUGCCCAGACACCUACGGGUGGCUGCAGUCGAGAAUCUUCGGCAAUGAGCGAAAGCUUGACCGAGCGACGCCGCGUGCGGGAUGAAGGCCUUCGGGUUGUAAACCGCUUUCGGUAGGGAGGAAAUUGCUAGGGGCUAUCCCCUAGUAUUGACCUAUCUUCGGAAGAAGGACGGGCUAAGUUCGUGCCAGCAGCCGCGGUAAUACGAACCGUCCAAACGUUAUUCGGAUUUAUUGGGCUUAAAGGGUAUGUAGGCGGCGCCAUCAGUCGGGUGUGAAAGCCCUCGGCUCAACCGAGGAACUGCGCCCGAUACUGUGGUGCUUGAGGGAGACAGGGGUAAGCGGAACUGAUGGUGGAGCGGUGAAAUGCGUUGAUAUCAUCAGGAACACCAGUGGCGAAAGCGGCUUACUGGGUCUCUUCUGACGCUGAGAUACGAAAGCUAGGGGAGCGAACGGGAUUAGAUACCCCGGUAGUCCUAGCUGUAAACGAUGAGCACUUGAUCGAGGGGCCUCCCAUAGCCUCUCGGUCGAAGCGA